GCCCAGACUCCUACGGGAGGCAGCAGUGAGGAAUAUUGGUCAAUGGGCGGGAGCCUGAACCAGCCAUGCCGCGUGAAGGCGAGUGCCCUACGGGCGUUAAACUUCUUUUGUGCGGGAGCAAUAAGGGCCACGUGUGGCCCGAUGAGAGUACCGCACGAAUAAGCAUCGGCUAACUCCGUGCCAGCAGCCGCGGUAAUACGGAGGAUGCGAGCGUUAUCCGGAUUUAUUGGGUUUAAAGGGUGCGUAGGCGGAACAUUAAGUCAGCGGUAAAAUCGAGGGGCUCAACCCCUUUAAGCCGUUGAAACUGGUGAUCUUGAGUGGGCGAGAAGUAUGCGGAAUGCGUGGUGUAGCGGUGAAAUGCAUAGAUAUCACGCAGAACUCCGAUUGCGAAGGCAGCAUACCGGCGCCCGACUGACGCUGAGGCACGAAAGCGUGGGGAUCGAACAGGAUUAGAUACCCGCGUA
rnacentral:rRNA from 1 species